CUACGGGUCGCACCAGUGAGGAAUAUUGCACAAUGGGGGGAACCCUGAUGCAGCAACGCCGCGUGGAGGAUGACGCAUUUCGGUGUGUAAACUCCUUUUAUAUGUCAAGAAAAUGACGGUAGCAUAUGAAUAAGCACCGGCUAACUCCGUGCCAGCAGCCGCGGUAAUACGGAGGGUGCAAGCGUUACUCGGAAUCACUGGGCGUAAAGGACGCGUAGGCGGGUUGGAAAGUCAGGUGUGAAAUCCUACAGCUUAACUGUAGAACUGCACUUGAAACUUCUAAUCUAGAGUAUGGGAGGGGGAGAUGGAAUUAGUGGUGUAGGGGUAAAAUCCGUAGAUAUCACUAGGAAUACCUAAAGCGAAGGCGAUCUCCUGGAACAUUACUGACGCUAAGGCGUGAAAGCGUGGGGAGCAAACAGGAUUAGAUACCCGGGUAGUC
rnacentral:rRNA from 1 species